rnacentral:lncRNA from 1 species
GGCUUGUACUCGUUGGCCUCUUUUUACUUGGCAGAGAGAUGCAAUUUGUCUUUGGUGGAAACGUGCUCCCAAAAGCCAUGCCAUCACCCAAGUAGGUGUUCCUAUUUUGGGAUCUCGAAGAAGUAGUGUGUGUGUGUGUUUGUGUGUGUGUGUGUGUGUAGGCUGACUGAUCAGCUGGCAGACUGACUGGAUCCAUGGUGGAACUACAGACACUGCAGGAGGCUCUGAAGGUGGAGAUCCAGAUCCAUCAGACAUCAGCAACCCCCGCGCUGUUAGAAGCAAAGCCGCUUCAACGCCAACCGGAGCCGAUAACAGAGACUUUCCUGCAGCUUUCUGCAACCCGAGCACCACCAGACGUUUUCACACAGAGGCCCCAACGCCUGGUAACUUUGAGGAUGGAAACUCCACCACAGCCAGCUGUGAUCCACUCGCCGAACGUUCCCGGUGUCUUGACACUGGAGCUGGCACUUCCUGAUCUGUGGUUCACGGCUCGACUAAUCUUGGAUGCUCUGAUGUUCUAUCCCUCCAUCCUGUUCUGUUCUCCUUUUUCUGUCCACUAACCCCAACCAGUCGAAGCAGAUGGCUGCUACCUCUGAGGCAAGAUCGGCUGGAGAUGUAUUCCUGUUAAAGGGGAGUUGUUCCUCCCCACCAUCGCUGAUGCUUGUUCAUGUGGAAUUGUUGGGUUAUUUUUUAACAAUGUUAUGUUUUGUGAUUAAUUUAAAUGAACUAGCACAGUGAUGCUAGCUCCUCAGGCCAAUCAUAACACACGUCAGCUUUCCAUUUCAGAGGCAGAACCAUUUUUUGAUUUCCUUAUUGUUGUGUCUGUACUUCAGAUUAAUCAAAGAGUUCCGAACUGAAAAGUUGGUUUUCUCUACUGACACUUGAUGCAUGUUCCUCAUUAAGCUCAUAAACCUCUGCGGCUCCCAAACCACUGUGCCACUUAAACUGGGUGGAUUUUUCCACAUCACAGCAACUGAGCCUAUUAAUCGCACAUAGACUCUGGCCUGCUGGCACAGAUUUUAUGAGCCAAUUAAUGUUAAAGAGACAAGUCACACAGAUUAGGAGCAAUUCAAAUUAAAAAUUGUUCCUUAAUAGUGUUGGACAUCACUGUACCGUGCAGGGUCUCUUUUCUCAUUAGAAUUCAUUUUGACCAGGCCCCCAUGGAUGAAUACAGAGUUUUGUUCUCCAAACUACCUUCAAAUAUAGGUAAAUUGAUAUAGCCUACUGUAUAAUGGGAGCUAUUCUCAAACUCAAAUUGGCUGAUUGUCAACUAAAACAAAACAGAGAACCAUCUGAGAUACACACGCAAACUGAUAUUCAUCCUAUGCACUUUAUAAUAUCAAAACAUGAGAUUAAGAUAUAUUUUUUAUUAAUAAAUAAAAUUUAAUGCCUUUUUUAUGCA